ACUCGACCCUUCAAAACUCACUGCAAAGAAAAAGAAGGAAGAGAAGGCCAAGGACAAGGAGUUAAAUGAUUUGUUCAAAAUUGCUGUUAGUCAGCCUAAGGUGUUGAUCCUAAGUCCAUAUUGUGUGAGUUUUUCAAAGUGGGGCAGUGUACCAAGGGCUUCAAGUGCAAGUUCUCCCAUGAUUUGAAUGUUCAGAGGAAAGGGGAAAAAUUGACCUUUAUAGUGAUAAGUGUGACGAGGAAACAAUGGAGGAUUGGGAUCAAGACACCUUGGAGAAGGUUGUAGAGUCUAAGAAAACCGAGUAUAAUCAGAACAAACCAACUGACAUGGUCUGUACUUUUUGGACACAGUGGAGAAGAAGCAAUAUGGUUGGUUCUGGGUCUGCCCCAAUGGCAGUAAGAAUUGCCACUAUAGACAUGCCCUUCCCCUUGGAUAUGUUUUGAAAUCUCAAAUGAAGGCUCUAUUAGAGGAGGAAAGUGAAAAAAUAACAAUAGAGGAGGAGAUUGAAAAUCAGCGUGCCAAAGUGACAACUACAACUCCUAUGACUCCUGAAUUAUUCAUGCAAUGGAAGAAAAAGAAAAUGGAAGAGAGAGAGGCCAAUCUUGGUGCACAACAGGCAGAGAGGGCUAAGAAUGUUCGCAUGAGGUAUGCAAUCUUGCUGCACAACAGGCAGAGAGAGGCCAAUCUUUGUCUUACGGUUCACAGUUCACACAUGAAUGAGUUUUAUUACUCAAAAGAAAAAGUACAUGCUGCACAUUCUUGAAUGUGUUUUAAUGGAAGGAUCACAGUUGGUUAUGAAGGCUGAUGACCUUUAAGUUAGUUGUCUGUCACUAAUCAUGUCAUGUUUCCAUUCCCAUUUGCAUUGGUCACGAGCUAUUUUUGUCAGAUGCUAGCUUGUUUUGUGGAUGAUGAUGAAGCAUAUGACAAGUACCAAAGAGAACCAGAAUCUGAAUCUGGCAACACUGAACAGAAUGCGAAUGGUAAUGCUACCGAAGAUGGUCCUGGCACCUCAAUAGCUAGUGCUGAUGUUGACGAUACUGACGAUGUUGAUGGCGAACUGGACAUGGACGAGUUGGAUGAAUUAAGCAAGCUUAUCAAAGAUAUCAAUUCAAAUAAAGGAGUAAGGAGCUGAAACUUAAUUCUGAGGAUUAGUUAUAACCUUCUUGUGAUAUUUCUAUGCAUCUAAUGCACAAUAGAGCAUGUGCUUGUAGCCAUUAGCACUUGUUUCUUUCAAGUAAGUUUUUGAGUGAAGCCUUUGAUGAUAAUGAAAGUAUUCUUCUCAAUUUUACAUUUGGUAAGAAUAAUUGCAUGUGUGACAUAAUGUGAUAUAAUCUAGCUUUCUGUAGUUAGAUCUCUCAUUGGACCUACUACACACAUUUUUUGUUGUUUGAACACUAUGUUGUCUCAGCAGUGUGUAUCAGUUUUAUUAUGAGUUUACGGUUUACUUAUUUCAGAAAUCAGCACGGGGGUGUUCCA